AUGAACGCUGGCGGCAUGCCUAACACAUGCAAGUCGAACGAGACCUUCGGGUCUAGUGGCGCACGGGUGCGUAACGCGUGGGAAUCUGCCCCUCGGUUCGGAAUAACAGUUAGAAAUGACUGCUAAUACCGGAUAAUGACGUAAGUCCAAAGAUUUAUCGCCGAGGGAUGAGCCCGCGUAGGAUUAGCUUGUUGGUGGGGUAAUGGCCCACCAAGGCGACGAUCCUUAGCUGGUCUGAGAGGAUGAUCAGCCACACUGGGACUGAGACACGGCCCAGACUCCUACGGGAGGCAGCAGUGGGGAAUAUUGGACAAUGGGCGAAAGCCUGAUCCAGCAAUGCCGCGUGAGUGAUGAAGGCCUUAGGGUUGUAAAGCUCUUUUACCAGGGAUGAUAAUGACAGUACCUGGAGAAUAAGCUCCGGCUAACUCCGU
rnacentral:rRNA from 1 species